GUCCGCACUGUAAACGAUGAUUACUCGCUGCUUGGGGGCAACCCUGAGUGGCCAAGCGAAAGCGAUAAGUAAUCCACCUGGGGAGUACGCCGGCAACGGUGAAACUCAAAGGAAUUGACGGGGGCCCGCACAAGCGGAGGAGCAUGUGGUUUAAUUCGAUGAUACGCGAGGAACCUUACCAGGGCUUGAAAGUUAGGGAAUGACUCUGAAAGGAGUCAGUCAGCAAUGACCCGAAACUAGGUGCUGCAUGGCUGUCGU
rnacentral:rRNA from 1 species